rnacentral:rRNA from 1 species
CUACGUGCCAGCAGCCGCGGUAAUACGGAGGGUGCGAGCGUUAAUCGGAAUAACUGGGCGUAAAGGGCACGCAGGCGGCUAUUUAAGUGAGGUGUGAAAUCCCCGGGCUUAACCUGGGAAUUGCAUUUCAGACUGGGUAGCUAGAGUACUUUAGGGAGGGGUAGAAUUCCACGUGUAGCGGUGAAAUGCGUAGAGAUGUGGAGGAAUACCGAAGGCGAAGGCAGCCCCUUGGGAAUGUACUGACGCUCAUGUGCGAAAGCGUGGGGAGCAAACAGGAUUAGAUACCCUGGUAGUCCACGCUGUAAACGAUGUCGAUUUGGGGAUUGGGCUUUGAGCUUGGUGCCCGUAGCUAACGUGAUAAAUCGACCGCCUGGGGAGUACGGCCGCAAGGUUAAAACUCAAAUGAAUUGACGGGGGCCCGCACAAGCGGUGGAGCAUGUGGUUUAAUUCGAUGCAACGCGAAGAACCUUACCUACUCUUGACAUCCAGGAAUCUUGUAGAGAUACGAGAGUGCUUCGGGA